rnacentral:rRNA from 1 species
CGAGGGUGCAAGCGUUAAUCGGAAUUACUGGGCGUAAAGCGAGUGUAGGCGGCUUCGUAAGUCGGAUGUGAAAGCCCUGGGCUUAACCUGGGAAUGGCAUUCGAUACUGCGCGGCUAGAGUCUGAUAGAGGGAUGUGGAAUUCCAGGUGUAGCGGUGAAAUGCGUAGAGAUCUGGAGGAACACCAGUGGCGAAGGCGGCAUCCUGGAUCAAGACUGACGCUGAGGCUCGAAAGCGUGGGGAGCAAACAGGAUUAGAUACCCCAGUAGUCC